rnacentral:rRNA from 1 species
GAUGAACGCUAGCUACAGGCUUAACACAUGCAAGUCGAGGGGCAGCGCAGUGUAGCAAUACAUGGGCGGCGACCGGCGCACGGGUGCGUAACGCGUAUCCAACCUUCCCGUUACUCAGGGAUAGCCUUCCGAAAGGGAGAUUAAUACCUGAUGGUGUUCAAAUUCCGCAUGUUAUUUGAACUAAAGAUUUAUCGGUAACGGAUGGGGAUGCGUGACAUUAGGUAGAUGGCGGGGUAACGGCCCACCAUGCCUACGAUGUCUAGGGGUUCUGAGAGGAAGGUCCCCACACUGGAACUGAGACACGGUCCAGACUCCUACGGGAGGCAGCAGUGAGG